rnacentral:rRNA from 1 species
CGCGUAGGUGGUUAGGUAAGUUGGAUGUGAAAGCCCUGGGCUCAACCUGGGAACUGCAUCCAAAACUGCUUGGCUAGAGUACGGUAGAGGGUAGUGGAAUUUCCUGUGUAGCGGUGAAAUGCGUAGAUAUAGGAAGGAACACCAGUGGCGAAGGCGACUACCUGGACUGAUACUGACACUGAGGUGCGAAAGCGUGGGGAGCAAACA